rnacentral:rRNA from 1 species
ACUCCUACGGGAGGCAGCAGUGGGAAGUAUUGCACAAUGGGCGCAAGCCUGAUGCAGCCAUGCCGCGUGUAUGAAGAAGGCCUUGGGUUGUAAAGUACUUUCAGUGUGAGGAAGGCGGCGUCGUUAAUAGCGGUCGUUGUUUGUACGUUAGCGACAGAAGAAGCACCGGCUAACUCCGUGCCAGCAGCCGCGGUAAUACGGAGGGUGCGAGCGUUAAUCGGAAUUACUGGGCGUAAAGCGCAUGCAGGUGGUUUGUUAAGUCAGAUGUGAAAGCCCGGGGCGUCAACCUCGGAAUUGCACUUGAAACUGGCAGACUAGAGUACUGUAGAGGGGGUAGAAUUUCAGGUGUAGCGGUGAAAUGCGUAGAGAUCUGAAGGAUACCGGUGGCGAAGGCGGCCCCUGGACAGAUACUGACACUCAGAUGCGAAAGCGUGGGAGCAAACAGGAUUAGAUACCCCGUGGUAGGACAGUG